AGUGAACGCUGGCGGUAGGCCUAACACAUGCAAGUCGAACGGCAGCACAGUAAGAGCUUGCUCUUACGGGUGGCGAGUGGCGGACGGGUGAGGAAUACAUCGGAAUCUACUUUUUCGUGGGGGAUAACGUAGGGAAACCUACGCUAAUACCGCAUACGACUUACGGGUGAAAGCAGGGGAUCUUCGGACCUUGCGCGAUUGAAUGAGCCGAUGUCGGAUUAGCUAGUUGGCGGGGUAAAGGCCCACCAAGGCGACGAUCCGUAGCUGGUCUGAGAGGAUGAUCAGCCACACUGGAACUGAGACACGGUCCAGACUCCUACGGGAGGCAGCAGUGGGGAAUAUUGGACAAUGGGCGCAAGCCUGAUCCAGCCAUACCGCGUGGGUGAAGAAGGCCUUCGGGUUGUAAAGCCCUUUUGUUGGGAAAGAAAAGCAGCAGGUUAAUACCCCGCUGUUCUGACGGUACCCAAAGAAUAAGCACCGGCUAACUUCGUG
rnacentral:rRNA from 1 species